rnacentral:rRNA from 1 species
GACGAACGCUGGCGGCGUGCUUAACACAUGCAAGUCGAACGGAAAGGCCCUGCUUUUGUGGGGUGCUCGAGUGGCGAACGGGUGAGUAACACGUGAGUAACCUGCCCUUGACUUUGGGAUAACUUCAGGAAACUGGGGCUACUACCGGAUAGGAGCUCCUGCUGCAUGGUGGGGGUUGGAAAGUUUCGGCGGUUGGGGAUGGACUCGCGGCUUAUCAGCUUGUUGGUGGGGUAGUGGCUUACCAAGGCUUUGACUGGUAGCCGGCCUGAGAGGGUGACCGGCCACAUUGGGACUGAGAGACGGCCCAGACGCCUACGGGAGGCAGCAGUGGGGAAUAUUGCACAAUGGGCGGAAGCCUGAUGCAGCGACGCCGCGUGCGGGAUGACGGCCUUCGGGUUGUAAACCGCUUUCGCCUGUGACGAAGCGUGAGUGACGGUAAUGGGUAAAGAAGCACCGGCUAACUACGUG